AACGAACGCUGGCGGCAGGCCUAACACAUGCAAGUCGAGCGAGCAUUUCGGUGCUAGCGGCGGACGGGUGAGUAACGCGUGGGAACGUGCCCUUUUCUGCGGAAUAGUCCUGGGAAACUGGGGGUAUACCGCAUACGCCCUUUUGGGGAAAGAUUUAUCGGAGAAGGAUCGGCCCGCGUUGGAUUAGGUAGUUGGUGGGGUAAUGGCCCACCAAGCCGACGAUCCAUAGCUGGUUUGAGAGGAUGAUCAGCCACACUGGGACUGAGACACGGCCCAGACUCCUACGGGAGGCAGCAGUGGGGAAUCUUAGACAAUGGGGGCAACCCUGAUCUAGCCAUGCCGCGUGAGUGAUGAAGGCCUUAGGGUUGUAAAGCUCUUUCAGCUGGGAAGAUAAUGACGGUACCAGCAGAAGAAGCCCCGGCUAACUCCGUG
rnacentral:rRNA from 1 species